rnacentral:rRNA from 1 species
AACGAACGCUGGCGGCAUGCCUAACACAUGCAAGUCGAACGAGACCUUCGGGUCUAGUGGCGCACGGGUGCGUGCCGCGGGGGAACCUGCCCUUAGGUUCGGAAUAACUCCCCGAAAGGUGUGCUAAUACCGGAUAAUGUCUUCGGACCAAAGAUUUCUCGCCUUUGGAUGGGCCCGCGUUGGAUUAGCUAGUUGGUAGGGUAAAAGCAUACCAAGGCGACGAUCCAUGGCUGGUCUGAGAGGAUGAUCAGCCACACUGGGACUGAGACACGGCCCAGACUCCGACGGAAGGGAGCAGUGGGGAAUAUUGGACGAUGGACGAAAGUGUGGUAAAGCAAUGCGGGGUAAGAGAUGAAGGCCUUAGGGUUGUAAAGCUCUUUUACCCGAGAUGAUAAUGACAGUACCGGGAGAAUAAGCUCCGGCUAACUCCGUG